rnacentral:rRNA from 2 species
UGGGGAAUAUUGCACAAUGGGCGGAAGCCUGAUGCAGCGACGCCGCGUGAAGGAAGAAGGUUUUCGGAUUGUAAACUUCUGUCCUCAGGGAAGAAGGAAGUGACGGUACCUGAGGAGGAAGCCACGGCUAACUACGUGCCAGCAGCCGCGGUAAUACGUAGGUGGCGAGCGUUGUCCGGAAUUACUGGGUGUAAAGGGCGUGUAGGCGGGAAAGCAAGUCAGAUGUGAAAUACCGGGGCUUAACUCCGGGGCUGCAUCUGAAACUGUUUUUCUUGAGUGUCGGAGAGGAAAGCGGAAUUCCUAGUGUAGCGGUGAAAUGCGUAGAUAUUAGGAGGAACACCAGUGGCGAAGGCGGCUUUCUGGACGACAACUGACGCUGAGGCGCGAAAGCGUGGGGAGCAAACAGG